rnacentral:rRNA from 1 species
CUUAAUUUUUUUGGCGGUUUACUAACCUUUCAUAGGAAUUUGUUUUAUUUAAUAGAUAACCCGCUUUUAAAAUUACCUAUUUUUUUUUUAUGUACGGCUGUUACUAUUUUAAUUUAAGUGUUUUUAUUAAAAAAAAAUUCUUUUUUAAAUCAGGUCAAUGUGUAGGGUAUAUUUAGGUUUUUUAUGAGUUACUUUAAUAAGAUUUUUCUUUUAUAAUGAAAAUAAAUUAGGAUAUGAUAGUAAAUAAAAAAUGAAAUUUUUUAUUGAUUAAAGGAUCUAGUAAAAGUACAUAUCGCCCGUCACUCUUUUGAUAG